UGGGGAAUAUUGGGCAAUGGGCGAAAGCCUGACCCAGCAACGCCGCGUGAGGGAAGAAGGUUUUCGGAUUGUAAACCUCUGUCCUCAAGGACGAAGGAAGUGACGGUACUUGAGGAGGAAGCCCCGGCUAACUACGUGCCAGCAGCCGCGGUAAUACGUAGGGGGCGAGCGUUGUCCGGAAUGACUGGGCGUAAAGGGCGUGUAGGCGGCUCUUUAAGUCUGGAGUGAAAGUCCUGCUUUCAAGGUGGGAAUUGCUUUGGAGACUGGAGAGCUUGAGUGCGGAAGAGGUAAGUGGAAUUCCCAGUGUAGCGGUGAAAUGCGUAGAGAUUGGGAGGAACACCAGUGGCGAAGGCGACUUACUGGGCCGUAACUGACGCUGAGGCGCGAAAGCGUGGGGAGCGAACAGG
rnacentral:rRNA from 1 species